GCUUAACACAUCCAAGUCGAGCGCCCCGCAAGGGGAGCGGUCAGACGGGUGAGUAACGCGUGGGAAUCUACCCAUCCCUACGGAACAACUCCGGGAAACUGGAGCUAAUACCGUAUACGCCCUUUGGGGGAAAGAUUUAUCGGGGAUGGAUGAGCCCGCGUUGGAUUAGCUAGUUGGUGGGGUAAAGGCCUACCAAGGCGACGAUCCAUAGCUGGUCUGAGAGGAUGAUCAGCUCACAUUGGGACUGAGACACGGCCCAAACUCCUACGGGAGGCAGCAGUGGGGAAUAUUGGACAAUGGGCGCAAGCCUGAUCCAGCCAUGCCGCGUGAGUGAUGAAGGCCUUACGGUUGUAAAGCUCUUUCACCGGAGAAGAUAAUCGACGGUAUCCGGAGAAGAA
rnacentral:rRNA from 1 species